UCCCUGGUUGAUCCUGCCAGUAGUCAUAUGCUUGUCUCAAAGAUUAAGCCAUGCAUGUCUCAGUGCAAGCCGCAUUAAGGUGAAACCGCGAAAGGCUCAUUAAAUCAGUUGUGGUUCCUUAGAUCGUACCCAAGUUACUUGGAUAACUGUGGUAAUUCUAGAGCUAAUACAUGCCGACAGAGUUCCGACCGUCGCGGCGCCCUCGGGCGUCGCUCGCGGGAGGAACGCUUUUAUUAGAUCAAAACCGGCCCGUCGCGGCGCGCUUCGUGCGCGUCCCGAUCGCGGCCCGCGCAAAGACCUGGUGACUCUGAAUAACUUCGAGCUGAUCGCACGGUCUCCGUACCGGCGACGCAUCUUUCAAAUGUCUGCCUUAUCAACUGUCGAUGGUAGGUUCCAUGCCUACCAUGGUGGUAACGGGUAACGGGGAAUCAGGGUUCGAUUCCGGAGAGGGAGCCUGAGAAACGGCUACCACAUCCAAGGAAGGCAGCAGGCGCGCAAAUUACCCACUCCCGGAACGGGGAGGUAGUGACGAAAAAUAACGAUACGGGACUCAUCCGAGGCCCCGUAAUCG
rnacentral:ncRNA from 1 species